GUGGGGAAUAUUCCGCAAUGGACGAAAGUCUGACGGAGCAACGCCGCGUGAGUGAUGAAGGUUUUCGGACUGUAAAGCUCUGUUGUUUAGGACGAAAGUGCCUGUUGCGAAUAGUUACAGGUAUUGACGGUACUGAACGAGGAAGCCACGGCUAACUACGUGCCAGCAGCCGCGGUAAUACGUAGGUGGCAAGCGUUGUCCGGAAUUAUUGGGCGUAAAGAGCAUGUAGGCGGGAAUCUAAGUCUGUUGUGAAAAUGCGGGGCUCAACCCCGUAUUGCGAUGGAAACUGGGUUUCUUGAGUGCAGGAGAGGAAAGGGGAAUUCCCAGUGUAGCGGUGAAAUGCGUAGAUAUUGGGAGGAACACCAGUGGCGAAGGCGCCUUUCUGGACUGUGUCUGACGCUGAGAUGCGAAAGCCAGGGUAGCGAACGGGAUUAGAUACCCCUGUAGUCC
rnacentral:rRNA from 1 species